UACGGGGGGGGGCUAGCGUUGUUCGGAAUUACUGGGCGUAAAGGGCGCGUAGGCGGCCUACUAAGUCGGACGUGAAAUCCCUCGGCUCAACCGGGGAACUGCGUCCGAUACUGGUGGGCUCGAAUCCGGGAGAGGGAUGUGGAAUUCCAGGUGUAGCGGUGAAAUGCGUAGAUAUCUGGAGGAACACCGGUGGCGAAGGCGGCCUUCUGGACGGUGACUGACGCUGAGACGCGAAAGCGUGGGGAGCAAACAGG
rnacentral:rRNA from 1 species